UACGGGGGGGGCAAGCGUUGUUCGGAAUUACUGGGCGUAAAGGGCUCGUAGGCGGCCAACUAAGUCGGAUGUGAAAUCCCCAGGCUUAACCUGGGAACUGCAUCCGAUACUGGAUGGCUUGAAUUCGGGAGAGGGAUGCAGAAUUCCAGGUGUAGCGGUGAAAUGCGUAGAUAUCGUAAGGAAGACCAGUGGCGAAGGCGGGUCUCUGGACAGUUCCUGACGCUGAGGCACGAAGGCCAGGGGAGCAAACGGG
rnacentral:rRNA from 1 species